rnacentral:misc_RNA from 1 species
GAAAUGCGAUAAGUAAUGUGAAUUGCAGAAUUCAGUGAAUCAUCGAAUCUUUGAACGCACAUUGCGCCCGCCAGCACUCUGGCGGGCAUGCCUGUUCGAGCGUCAUUUCAACCCUCGGGCCCCCCUCGGGGGGCGCGGCGUUGGGGGUCCACGGCCCGGGCCGCCCCCUAAAGGCAUCGGCGAGCACCGCCCGCCUCCCCUGCGCAGUAACCGCAAGGCUCGCGGCGGGAGCGCGGCGGGGGCUCCGCCGCUAAACACCCAAGCUCUGGAAGUUGACCUCGGAUCAGGUAGGGAUACCCGCUGAACUUAA